rnacentral:rRNA from 1 species
UACGGGGGGGGCAAGCGUUGUUCGGAAUUACUGGGCGUAAAGGGCUCGUAGGCGGCCAACUAAGUCGGAUGUGAAAUCCCCAAGCUUAACUUGGGAACUGCAUCCGAUACUGGAUGGCUUGAAUCCGGGAGAGGGAUGCAGAAUUCCAGGUGUAGCGGUGAAAUGCGUAGAUAUCUGGAGGAACACCGGUGGCGAAGGCGGCAUCCUGGACCAUUACUGACACUGAAAAGCGAAAGCCAGGGGAGCAAACGGG